GCGCGUAAAUUGCCCGAAUCCUGACACAGGGAGGUAGUGACAAGAAAUAACAAUACAGGGCUAUCUUAGUCUUGUAAUUGGAAUGAGUACAAUUUACAUCUCUUCACGAGGAUCAAUUGGAGGGCAAGUCUGGUGCCAGCAGCCGCGGUAAUUCCAGCUCCAAUAGCGUAUAUUAAAGUUGUUGCAGUUAAAACGUUCGUAGUCGGAUUUCGGGGCGGGCCGACCGGUCUGCCGAUGGGUAUGCACUGGCCGGCGCGUCCUUCCUUCCGGAGACCGCGCCUACUCUUAGCUGAGCGGGCGCGGGAGACGGAUCGUUUACUUUGAAAAAAUCAGAGUGUUUCAAGCAGGCAGCUCGCUCUUGCAUGGAUUAGCAUGGGAUAAUGAAAUAGGACUUUGGUGCUAUUUUGUUGGUUUCGAACACCGAAGUAAUGAUUAACAGGGACAGUCAGGGGCACUCGUAUUCC
rnacentral:rRNA from 1 species